CGAGGUUUCCGGUGAGCCGCAGUAGCCGGUUAUGACGACUCCGUGCCCCCGAACGGCGGCCGUCUCCUCCUCCUCCUCCGCAGCCCCGGCUCCCCCGGCUCCAGGCCUGAGGAAAUCCGGUCCAGGAAUACAGAAGAGGAGGGAGCCAGUUGCAUUGCGCUGAAGAAAAGUAGCGCAGCGCUGAAGCUUUCAUCUGCUGGAGAAGUGCAGACACCCUGCCCUGGGGGACCUUGCAAGACGACCGCGUGCGGACAGGCUUUCUGCCAGGCCCCGGGGUUGUGCUUUCAUGCUCUAGCAGCCACCCCCUUCUAGCGUAUGCAAGUGGGUUUGGAGGUUGCUAUGUUAAUGCUGCUUAUUCUUGGAGUAUUGCUUCAUGGUGUUUCACUGAGUGGCCAAGAGGAGGCUUCUCCCAAGGCUGAUGGCAUUCCAGGCGAACCUCUGUUUAACUACGCCAGCAUUCACUUGCCCCAGGAACACAUUCCCUUCUUUUUGCACAAUAAUAGGCACGUUGCCACGGUCUGUAAGAAAGACUCCCAUUGUCCUUAUAAGAAACACUUAGAGAAUCUAAAGUUCUGCUGGGGUUAUGAGAAAUCCUGCAAACCAGAGUUCAGGUUUGGCUACCCUCUUUGUACCUACGUCGACAUGGGAUGGACAGAUACCCUUGAAUCAGCCCAGGACAUAUUCUGGAAACAAGCUGACUUUGGAUAUGCCGGAGAGCGACUGGAAGAACUUCACGUGCUCUGCCAGCCUGAGGAAACGAAUGACUCAAGUCUGGUAUGUUCCCGUUAUCUUCAGUACUGCAGAGCAACCAAUCUCUAUCUUGAUUUAAGAAACAUCAAGAGAGACCAUGACAGAUUUAAGGAAGAUUUUUUCCAGAGUGGCGAAAUUGGAGGACACUGCACACUUGACAUUCGUACAUUGAUGUCUCAAGGUCAGCGCAAAAGCCCUCUGCAGUCCUGGUUUGCUGAGCUACAAAGCUAUACUCAGCUCGCCUUCAGACCCAUAGAAGCUGCUGAAUGUGACGUUGUUAUUGAAAAACCAACCUACUUCAUGAAACUGGAUGCAGGUGUUAACAUGUAUCACCACUUCUGUGAUUUUAUCAAUCUUUAUAUUACUCAGCAUGUUAAUAAUUCAUUCAGUACAGAUGUGUACAUCGUGAUGUGGGACACCAGCUCCUAUGGAUAUGGUGACCUAUUCUCUGACACAUGGAGAGCAUUUACGGAUUAUGAUGUUAUACAUUUGAAAACUUAUGAUUCCAAAAGGGUGUGUUUUAAAGAAGCUAUUUUUUCCCUACUCCCCCGGAUGCGAUACGGGCUGUUCUAUAAUACCCCUUUGAUAUCUGGCUGUCAGAACACGGGAUUAUUCAGGGCAUUUUCCCAGCAUGUGCUGCACAGACUGAACAUCACACAGGAGGGCCCCAAGGAUGGAAGAAUCCGAGUCACCAUUCUUGCACGGAGUACAGAGUACCGGAAAAUUCUAAACCAAAACGAGCUGGUAAAUGCACUGAAAACAGUAUCUACACUUGAGGUUCGGAUUGUCGAUUACAAGUAUAAGGAACUUGGGUUUUUAGAUCAGCUGAGGAUCAGUCAUAACACGGACAUAUUUAUCGGAAUGCAUGGAGCUGGUCUUACCCAUUUACUCUUCCUUCCAGACUGGGCUGCUGUCUUUGAACUACUGGGACCAUCUCUCUACACUGUGUGCCAUCAUGCUGAUAAAAAGGAACCUGUAUACUGCAUACCUGUGUUCAUGGCACCCUUAUUCACGGCAGCCAAGAUGUGGAAGCCACCGAAACGUCCAUCAGCGGAUGAAUGCAUAAACAAAAUGUGGAAAUGUACAACUGUGGAGAUGAGCGCUGCUACUUAGACCUGGCCAGGCUCAGAGGGAUCCAUUACAUCACUUGGCGAAGGCAGAAUAAAGUCUUUCCUCAGGAUAAGGGCCACCACCCGACUCUGGGGGAACAUCCAAAGUUUACCAACUACUCUUUCGAUGUAGAAGAAUUCAUGUACCUUGUCCUUCAGGCAGCAGACCACGUAUUACAACACCCGAAGUGGCCGUUUAAGAAAAAACGUGAUGAGCUAUAAAUGUGCCGAGUCUGUUUGUAAAAGUCUGUUUGUUUAAACAUUCCACCACCCAGGCUCUCACAGUUCAAUAAGUAAAACAACUAGUUAUCUCCUAACCCCAAAUUACCUUUUCUGGACCAAAACAUGCCUUCAGGAUAUUACUUACAUGUUUUAGAGUCUUGAACUGUUUCCCGUGAUUUUCGUGUCAUAGCUAUUUAUCAAGAUACUAUUUUUGCACUGAAAACUUUACUUUUUAUAGUUUAAAAAUAAGGCAUGGGCUUGCUGAUGUAUUUGAGUUUCUUAGGUAUACCAAAGUUGUCAACCUUCUUGGCUUUAGAAUUUGUAAAUGUUUUUGCAGAUGACAAUGGGAUUAUAAUUCUAGUGGCUUCCAAUGUGUUUCUGAUGUAUUUAAGUAAAUUCACAGCAGCUUUUUUUAUUUGCCAAAAUCUGUUCACGACACUUUGUGGUAGGAAAGGAAAACAACAUACUACACACGCACACACACACACACACACACACACACACACACACACCCCGUUGUGAUUCUCAGUACCAGGCUAUAGGUAGCCUACUCCAUGUCAGAAAUCAAACAGUGUUCUACCCAGGUCUGUUUUACUCUCUCAGAGUCCAAAGUAUCUCCCACAGAAUUCUCUGCUCUAUCUUUUUAGUAAACUCCAGGCUACAUGCACCAAGAACCUCAAUAAACCAUGCCGUUGCAUCAGUUUAUAUUCCCAUAUUUCAUAUGCAAAUCAUGUUUUCCCCAAAUGCAACAGCUACAUACGAUAAAAAUAAAUUAGACCGUCCGUUAGGACUGCUUUGGAUACCUUCUAGCUGGUGGCCCCUAAUUCCUUCUUAGCCCUGGAGAGCAGUUAGGUUGAAUUUCUGUAUCACUUGGUGGUUUCGGUGCAGGUAUUCGUGACUGCACACGCCUGUGUGAUGCUUCUGUCUCCUUUUGCACGGGAGUGUUUCCCUUUGAUCUUGCAGACUCCAGAUUAGCUACAUGAAGAGACUUUUUCCCUAUCAAAAACAAAAACCAAAAGAAAAAAAAAAAGUAAAGACAUGUGAAUUCUCCAUUUCAAAAUGAAAAAGCAGCCCAUGAGAAAGUGCUGUUGAUUAAAAAGAAUAUCUGAAACGCGGUCCCACUCUCUGGGAUUAAUUUCUUACUGUUGAUGAACUUUCAAUCCAGGGGUCAGAAACCAUGGAUUUAAUUUACUGCGAAAUGUGAAGUUUACAUUUUAUUAACACUUGAGAAAUCUAAUUUAGAGAUGAAUGACUUCUAUUUUUUAAAGUAGAUGAUUAACAGGGCUGCAGAUUUUUUUAAAAAACAUUUUAGCAUUGUAAAAAAAAAAAAAAGAGUAGGCAGCAGAAUAGUAACUUGAGAAACCCAAAGUAUUUUUUUAUAUGGACCUUUACAGAACAAGUUUGCUGACCCCUGCUUUAAAGGUUUAUGAACAGUCUUCCAGAGUUUAGGGAUAUUUAUUAAAAUCUCUGUAAAGAAAGUAGUGAAGGACUAUAGUAAUACUUUUGAUUUCGAUGUGAAAAUUGUGUAAAAAGAAUCACAACACAUGAAUAUUUAAGUGAGUGGUAUGGCUGUGCUUCGUGCAGAAUAGAGUCACUCCCGGGAAAAGAUUUCACUUUAAAAGAAAUUUAAAGGCAGCAUCAUACUUUUAAUCAGAGCAGUAUAAACUUCUAGAAAAAGUAUCUGAAAAAAAUGUCAGCGUUGAGCUUACCUCAUUUUAAGAAGUGUGUAGAAAUACAAUUCUAUAGACUAGCAAGAAUUCCAGAAAUUGAGGACAUUUUCAUAAUGCAACUAUUAUAUUUAAAUAUUUUACAUUUGUAGAGAGAAUGCUUUUAUAUAAACACGAGUACAUUUAACACUUUAUGGAAUUAACUUUUGUCAGACUUUUUCUAUGGGAGCAAAAGACCUUCAAAUGGUUAUAAAAUUUAAAUGUAAGGAGUGCUUUUGAAAAUUAAGUCUUGAAAAGAUAUUUCAUUGUUUGUACAUUUUGGGUAUGGCUUUGAAAUAAAUCGUUUUAUAUUUUAUUUGAAUACCA